rfam:Algibacter sp. SK-16 scaffold9_cov54_read183, whole genome shotgun sequence.
UUGAACACAUAAUUAAAGAAAUGAAAUUAAAUUUAAAUAAUACUUGGUGGUGGUGCUUUUCAAACUUAACUUUUGUGAAGUAGAAACCUAGUAUAUUUAAAACUCAAAUAUCAUAAGGCUUGUC